rnacentral:misc_RNA from 1 species
GAUGAAGAACGUAGCGAAAUGCGAUACUUGGUGUGAAUUGCAGAAUCCCGUGAACCAUCGAGUCUUUGAACGCAAGUUGCGCCCGAAGCCACUAGGCCGAGGGCACGCCUGCCUGGGCGUCACACGUCGUUGCCCCCCCCCAUCUACUCCUUCGGGAUUGCGGGGGGCGGAUGAUGGCCUCCCGUGCGCCUAGCCGCGCGGUUGGCAUAAAUACCAAGUCCUCGGCGACGCACGCCACGACAAUCGGUGGUUGCGAAACCUCGGUUGCCCGUCGUGUGCGUUCGUCGCGCAUCGAGGGCUCGAAAAAAUGCUCGGCUCCGGCUCGGCUUUCAACGCGACCCCAGGUCAGGCGGGGUUGCCCGCUGAAUUUAAGCAUAUCAAUAAGCGGAGGA